rnacentral:misc_RNA from 1 species
GAUGAAGAACGCAGCGAAAUGCGAUAAGUAAUGUGAAUUGCAGAAUUCAGUGAAUCAUCGAAUCUUUGAACGCACAUUGCGCCCGUCAGUAUUCUGGCGGGCAUGCCUGUUCGAGCGUCAUUACGCCCCUCAAGUCCCUUGUGGACUUGGUGUUGGGGAUCGGCGAGGCUGGUUUUCCAGCACAGCCGUCCCUUAAAUUAAUUGGCGGUCUCGCCGUGGCCCUCCUCUGCGCAGUAGUAAAACACUCGCAACAGGAGCCCGGCGCGGUCCACUGCCGUAAAACCCCCCAACUUUUUAUAGUUGACCUCGAAUCAGGUAGGACUACCCGCUGAACUUAAGCAUAUCAAUAAGCGGAGGA